GGAGAGGUGCUGGAGCGGUUGAACAGGCCGGUCUCGAAAACCGGAGUGGGGGUAACUCCACCGUGGGUUCAAAUCCCACCCUCUCCG
rnacentral:tRNA from 1 species